CCUACGGGGGGCAGCAGUGAGGAAUAUUGGUCAAUGGGCGCGAGCCUGAACCAGCCAUGUAGCGUGAAGGAUGACUGCCCUACGGGUUGUAAACUUCUUUUAUAAAGGAAUAAAGUGAGGCACGUGUGCCUUUUUGUAUGUACUUUAUGAAUAAGGAUCGGCUAACUCCGUGCCAGCAGCCGCGGUAAUACGGAGGAUCCGAGCGUUAUCCGGAUUUAUUGGGUUUAAAGGGAGCGUAGAUGGGUUGUUAAGUCAGUUGUGAAAAUCUGGGGCUCAACCGUGAAAUUGCAAUUGAUACUGGCAGCCUAGAGUACAGUUGAGGUAGGCGGAAUGUGUGGUGUAGCGGUGAAAUGCAUAGAUAUCACGAAGAACUCCGAUUGCGAAGGCAGCCUACGAAACUGCCACUGACAUUGAUGCACGAAAGUGUGGGUAUCAAACAGGAUUAGAUACCCUUGUAGUC
rnacentral:rRNA from 1 species